rnacentral:tRNA from 1 species
GCGGAUAUGGCGGAAUUGGCAGACGCGCAUGAUUCAGGUGCAUGUGGGGCAACCCAUGCAGGUUCAAGUCCUGUUAUCCGCACCA